AAGAACCAAGGAUUAUCAACUUUGCCACUUCUAUUUAGCUUAACAUUCAAAGAGUCCUGCAUCCACACAAACAAAUUUCAUAUACUACAUGCCCACUGAUCUAGGCCUGAGCGUUUUUACCCCAAACCGAAAUCUGAACCAAACCCGGAAAGAACCGAACCAAACCCGAUCCAAGAUAGUAAAAACCCGAAUGGGAUUAUGAGCAUAGUACCAAAAAUCCAAAAUUCCUAACCGAAUCCGAAGUUCUGAACUCCUAACGCCCAAGCCUACACUGAACUAUAGACGCAGCUUCUACAACAUUACAAAAACAGCAAAGAAGACUUGCCUGGUAAUAUUCACGGAAAGCAGCUAAAUCGGAAAGGGCCUGUUUAGAAGAAAGAUACUUAAGAUUCUCAGUGGCUAAAGAGUU